UACAGAGGUCCCAAGCGUUGUUCGGAUUCACUGGGCGUAAAGGGUGCGUAGGUGGCCAGGUAAGUUUGAUGUGAAAGCUCGGAGCUUAACUCCGAAAUGGCAUUGAAUACUAUCUGGCUUGAGGGUCGGAGGGGAGACUGGAAUUCUCGGUGUAGCAGUGAAAUGCGUAGAUAUCGAGAGGAACACCAGUGGCGAAGGCGAGUCUCUGGACGACACCUGACACUGAGGCACGAAAGCUAGGGGAGCAACAGG
rnacentral:rRNA from 1 species